GGCUUGGUGGCAUAAUGGUAACACGCUCUGUGUACCUAUAUGCAACGUUCAUAUAUUGUUCGACGGAAAGUCCGGAGUUCGAUUCUCCGUCAGGCCA